AUCUAGCUGACGAGUCUCAAAUAGAACGAAACACGUGUUGUGCAU
rnacentral:hammerhead_ribozyme from 1 species